ACUAAACUGGAUCUUGAAACACGUUCAUGAUUGAUGCUUUACAGAGAGUCAAUGCAGGCUGAGAAUUGACAAGCAAAUAUCAUGGUCAUCAUUCAAGGAGUUAGAAGCUGAAUGUAGUAGGUUUCUACGUCUAUCCGCGUUAAGGAUACAGAGGAUAAGUAGAAAAGCUCUAGUGGGCUGAUACUUUUCAAACUAAGGUGGUACCACGAAGAUUUCGUCCUUUCG
rnacentral:ncRNA from 1 species